GCCCAACAGCUAGCCUAAUUAUUUAAAACAACACCCCCCUAUUAAUACCCCCAAAUACACUACAAACAAACAAACAAAACAUUUUUCCCCCUUAGUACGGGCGACGAAAAAGGAAGAAAAGAGCAAUAGAGAAAGUACCGCAAGGGAAAGCUGAAAAAGAAAUGAAAUAACCCAGUAAAGCCAAAAAAAGCAGAGACUUAACCUCGAUU
rnacentral:rRNA from 1 species